rnacentral:rRNA from 1 species
UACGUAGGGGGCAAGCGUUGUCCGGAAUUAUUGGGCGUAAAGCGCGCGCAGGCGGCGAUUUAAGUCUUCUGUUUAAUGCAUGGGCUCAACCCGUGUUCGCAGAGGAAACUGGGUGGCUGGAGUGCAGGAGAGGAAAGUGGAAUUCCACGUGUAGCGAUGAAAUGCGUAGAGAUGUGGAGGAACACCAGUGGCGAAGGCGACUUUCUGGCCUGUAACUGACGCUGAGGCGCGAAAGCGUGGGGAGCAAACAGG